rnacentral:lncRNA from 1 species
CGUCACUUCUGGGCCCGGGGAGUUUGGGCUUGGGAUAUAAACGAGUGUUUUAUGCUGGUGGUGUCGUGUCCUCCAUCGCUGACUUCAGAGAACAUUUAAAGAGUUGAUAGAGGCUACUCCCUCUUAAGAGGGGGUCAGUGAGACUCAGGGAGCCACACAGCGUCCUCUCCAGUCCUCCUCGACACACAGCGCUCCUGCAGUAGCGUUUCAGGCGACCUUGAGCUCUGAGUGACGCCUGGCCUGUUAUGAGUUCCUGCCUGCAGUUCCAUUUGCCCAGGCAGCACCAUGGCCCAUGUCUUGAUUCCUGGGUUGUCUCGAGGCUCUGUGGGAGCCAUCUGCACUCAGGCUGCUUCGUGGGCACUGCCUACCAGCACUCUGCGUUCCCUUACCUUAGCCAGCGUAAUGAGAUCCAGAAGGAAAACUGACCACCUAGAGAGAACCGCCACUGUCCUCCGCCGGGAGUCCUUGUUUAUCCUGCUUUGGAAGCACCUUCUAGCUCGUCAGAGCAGCACUGACAUCUGAGACAGAAAGGUGGUUGAGCUCAUUGCCCCUCCCCUGCAGCCUGUCAAUCAUGCCCAGACUGUAGAAAGCUAAGCUGCCACCUGAGGGUGCCGAGGCCUGGGAAGUAGAGGAUCCUCACCUUUAUCCCAGUCAUGGCUGCAGCUAAGGUGUGUGAGAUCACUCACGAGUCUCCAUCAGUGAAGAGCCUCCGUUUGCUUGUUGCUGAUAAAGACUUUUCCUUCAAGGCUGGCCAGUG